CACGUAGUUAGCCGUGGCUUAUUCCUGGGGUACCGUCAUUUGUUCGUCCCCCAGAAAAGAAGUUUACAACCCGAAAGCCUUCUUCCUUCACGCGGCGUUGCUGGGUCAGGCUUGCGCCCAUUGCCCAAUAUUCCCCACUGCUGCCUCCCGUAGGAGUCUGGGCCGUGUCUCAGUCCCAAUGUGGCCGGCCAACCUCUCAGUCCGGCUACUGAUCGUCGCCUUGGUGGGCCGUUGCCCCGCCAACUAGCUAAUCAGACGCGAGCUCAUCUCAGAGCGAUAAAUCUUUGGCAGUCACAGGGAUGCCCCUCAACUGCUUCAUGCGGUAUUAGCGGCUGUUUCCAACCGUUAUUCCCCACUCCAAGGCAGAUUGCUCACGCGUUACUCACCCGUCCGCCACUUUCCCCAACUUCACUUGGACGAAUCCUCGAUCCAUUGGUUCUCGUUCGACUUGCAUGUGUUAAGCACGCCGCCAGCGUUCAUCCUGAGCCAGGAUCAAACUCU
rnacentral:rRNA from 1 species